rnacentral:rRNA from 1 species
CCCUUAGAUGUCCUGGGCCGCACGCGCGUUACACUGAUGCAUUCAACGAGCUUAUAACCUUGGCCGAGAGGCCUGGGCAAUCUUGUUAACGUGCAUCGUGAUAGGGAUAGAUUAUUGAAAUUAUUAAUCUUGAACGAGGAAUUCCUAGUAAACGCAGAUCACCAAUCUGCAUUGAUUACGUCCCUGCCCUUUGUACACACCGCCCGUCGCACCUACCGAUUGGAUGGUCCGGUGAAGCCUCGGGAUUGUGGUUCUUGCCGCUUUAUUGUGGCGUGACCGCGAGAACUUGUCUAAACCUUAUCAUCUAGAGGAAGGUGAAGUCGUAACA